rnacentral:rRNA from 1 species
CAGUCGCCGCGGGAAUACGUAGGUGGCAAGCGUUGUCCGGAAUUAUUGGGCGUAAAGGGCUCGCAGGCGGUUUCUUAAGUCUGAUGUGAAAGCCCCCGGCUCAACCGGGGAGGAUCAUUGGAAACUGGGAAACUUGAGUGCAGAAGAGGAGAGUGGAAUUCCACGUGUAGCGGUGAAAUGCGUAGAGAUGUGGAGGAACACCAGUGGCGAAGGCGACUCUCUGGUCCGUAACUGACGCUGAGGAGCGAAAGCGUGGGGAGCGAACAGGAUUAGAUACCCCUGUAGUCCCUGUCUCUUAUAC